AGUGAACGCUGGCGGCGUGCUUAACACAUGCAAGUCGAACGAGAACGGAUUAUAGCUUGCUAUAAUUGUCAGCUAAGUGGCGCACGGGUGAGUAAUGUAUAGGUAAUAUGCCUCUUACUAAGGGAUAACAAAUGGAAACGUUUGCUAUUACCCUAUACUCCUUAUUAACAUAAGUUAAUAAGGGAAAGAUUUAUUGGUAAGAGAUUAGCCUGUAUUGUAUCAGUUAGUUGGUGGGGUAAUGGCUUACCAAGACUAUGACACAUAACUGGUUUGAAAGGAUUAUCAGUCACACUGAAACUGAGACACGGUCCAGACUCCUACGGGAGGCAGCAGUGGGGAAUAUUGCACAAUGGACGAAAGUCUGAUGCAGCAACGCCGCGUGGAGGAUGACACAUUUCGGUGCGUAAACUCCUUUUAUAUGAGAAGAUAAUGACGGUAGUAUAUGAAUAAGCACCGGCUAACUCCGCGCCAGCCGCCGCCGUAA
rnacentral:rRNA from 1 species